AUUGAACGCUGGCGGAAUGCUUUACAUAUGCAAGUCGAACGGCAGCACGGGUGCUUGCACCUGGUGGCGAGUGGCGAACGGGUGAGUAAUACAUCGGAACGUACCCUGACGUGGGGGAUAACGUAGCGAAAGUUACGCUAAUACCGCAUACGUCCUGAGGGAGAAAGCGGGGGAUCGCAAGACCUCUUGUUAUUGGAGCGGCCGAUGGCUGAUUAGCUAGUUGGUAGGGUAAAGGCCUACCAAGGCAACGAUCAGUAGCGGGUCUUAGAGGACGAUCCGCCACACUGGAACUGAGACACGGUCCAGACUCCUACGGGAGGCAGCAGUGGGGAAUCUUGGACAAUGGGCGCAAGCCUGAUCCAGCAAUGCCGCGUGCGUGAAGAAGGCCUUCGGGUUGUAAAGCGCUUUUGUCAGGGAGCAAAUCCUUGUGGCUAAUACCCACCGGGGAUGAGAGUACCUGAAGAAUAAGGACCGGCUAACUACGUGCCAGCCGCCGCAGUAA
rnacentral:rRNA from 1 species